rnacentral:rRNA from 1 species
GUUGGGAGCAUUGCCCUGGUCAGGCCUGAUCUGGGAUGCUAAGUAGGCUUGGGCCUGGUUAGUACUUAGAUGAAGGACCACGUAGGAACACCAGGUGGCUACACCCAGCU